UAUGACAGCUGAAAUAAAACUGUUCCAAUUAUCUGAUGUUGGGGAUUUGCAGUCUGUGGAGGCAGUUGUUGGGCCUCUAAAUGAGGGAAUUGUUUCUAUCUCUAACAUCUGCAUAUCUCUCUUGGAUGCGCAAGUUGAUAACACCACUGACACAUGCUCCAAUUACAAACAAAUCAGGGGACAUAUUGAGCACGCUGAGCGAUACCUGAAAAAAUCAGAGACAACCAUUAAAGAAAAACUGGGAUAUUUUGAUAAUCGGAUGGAGCGACUUACUAAAGAAAAGGGAAAUGUUGAGCAGCAGAAGAAGGAAAAAUGUAUGGCCAAAGAUAAAUUACAUAUUGAGAAGAAAUCAGCUGAAGAAUCAUUAAAGUCUUCUGAAGCAGCAUUAAAGCAGGCCCAAAAAAACGUCAAAUUAACAAAACAUACAUUAAAAAUAGAGAAAGACAGGAAGGAGACAGGUGGAUGGGUAACAGCCGCAGGAGUGGGUGUUACCCUGAUACCAGUUGCUGGAUGGAUUGCAGGUCCAGUAAUUGUCUAUAAUGGAGUAAGUACAAUAGUGGAUGCUUCAGAGGCUAUCAGGGAUGCUGAAGAUGAGCUAAAAAAUAAUGAGUGUCAGGUGAAUGAGAACAGCAUGAAAGUGUCUAAUUACCAAUGCAGGAUCUCUAAGAUACAGAAUGAGAUUGAAGAGACUGGUAAGGUGCUGAAUAAAAUUCAGAAGGAGACUGAAGAGGUGAAGCAGCAUCUAGAGGGCACAGCUGCGUUUCAAGAAGUGGUCAGAAGAGCUGUAAAUCUACUGAGUGUUCUUCGUGGAAGAGUCACUGUACUGGAGAGACAAACUCAACGUUCCAUCUCCUGGCAGCCUGUUACAAAUGCUAUGGAAGAUGUGGUGAAGGCAGCAGGAGAUAUUGCAGAGAAUAGGCUCCUCUACAGUCAAGGUGUAUCUGGCCUCAUAAAUACUUUGAGGGAGAAUAUUGGAGGAGUGCAGGCUUUAUGCAACUCACCCAUUAAUUCUGAAUAUGAUUGGUAUUACUGAACUAACUAAAGAAACAAAUGUUUAGUUGUUCACAGUUUUAAUGUGUAUUUUAUUAAAAAAAAAAUACAAAAAAAAUUCUACAAUAAAUAAAAAGUUAAUAUGGGGAAAUGUGGUAUU
ensembl:lncRNA